rnacentral:rRNA from 1 species
UACGUAGGGGGCAAGCGUUGUCCGGAUUUAUUGGGCGUAAAGAGCGUGUAGGCGGCUAUACAGGUCCGCUGUGAAAACUCGAGGCUCAACCUCGAGACGUCGGUGGAAACCGUAUGGCUAGAGUCCGGAAGAGGAGAGUGGAAUUCCUGGUGUAGCGGUGAAAUGCGCAGAUAUCAGGAAGAACACCCGUGGCGAAGGCGGCCCUCUGGGACGGUACUGACGCUGAGACGCGAAAGCGUGGGGAGCGAACAGG